rnacentral:rRNA from 1 species
CUCCUUUGACGUUAGCGGCGGACGGGUGAGUAACACGUGGGUAACCUACCUAUAAGACUGGGAUAACUUCGGGAAACCGGAGCUAAUACCGGAUAAUAUUUCGAACCGCAUGGUUCGAUAGUGAAAGGNGGUUUUGCUAUCACUUAUAGAUGGACCCGCGCCGUAUUAGCUAGUUGGUAAGGUAACGGCUUACCAAGGCGACGAUACGUAGCCGACCUGAGAGGGUGAUCGGCCACACUGGAACUGAGACACGGUCCAGACUCCUACGGGAGGCAGCAGGU